rnacentral:rRNA from 1 species
UGGUAGUGGGGGACAACGUUUCGAAAGGAACGCUAAUACCGCAUACGUCCUACGGGAGAAAGCAGGGACCUUCGGGCCUUGCGCUAUCAGAUGAGCCUAGGUCGGAUUAGCUAGUUGGUGAGGUAAUGGCUCACCAAGGCGACGAUCCGUAACUGGUCUGAGAGGAUGAUCAGUCACACUGGAACUGAGACACGGUCCAGACUCCUACGGGAGGCAGCAGU